rnacentral:rRNA from 1 species
AACAAACGCUGGCGGCGUGCCUAACACAUGCAAGUCGUACGAGAAAGUCGGCUUCGGCCGAUGAGUACAGUGGCGCACGGGUGAGUAGCGCGUGGGUAAUCUGCCCCCCCGGUCAGGAAUAACCCGCCGAAAGGCGGGCUAAUACCCGAUAACACUGACGCUCCGCGGAGCGUCUUUCAAAGAAGGCCUCUGUUUACAAGCUUUCGCCGGAGGAUGAGCCCGCGUACCAUUAGCUAGUUGGCAGGGUAAUGGCCUACCAAGGCUACGAUGGUUAGCUGGUCUGAGAGGAUGGCCAGCCACACUGGAACUGAGACACGGUCCAGACUCCUACGGGAGGCAGCAGUGAGGAAUCUUGCGCAAUGGGGGAAACCCUGACGCAGCAACGCCGCGUGAGUGAGGAAGGCCUUCGGGUCGUAAAGCUCUGUCAGAUGGGAAGAAAUGGAGUGGGGGACUAAGUAUCGCCCAUCCUUCGACGGUACCAUCAGAGGAAGCACCGGCUAACUCCGUCG